GGUUUCGUAGCUCAGUUGGUAGAGCACUUUUGGACGCUGUGUUUCGGUAACUGGUACGAACUCAGUCGAAACCU